rnacentral:tmRNA from 1 species
GGGGGCGAUGAGGGCUCGACGGGGAUAGGUAGGGUUAAACUGCAGGCCGUGGUCGCACCCGCCACGUAAAAAAGGGUGCAAAAACACAAAUGCCGACGAUU